UACCAGUGAUGACAGAUUCUGCCAAAUGAUUUAAUGAUUAUAACCCUUACCGUUCCAUUUUCUCUGAGGUU